rnacentral:rRNA from 1 species
UACGGAGGGAGCUAGCGUUGUUCGGAAUUACUGGGCGUAAAGGGCGCGCAGGCGGCCGAUCAAGUCAGAUGUGAAAGCCCCGGGCUCAACCUGGGAAUGGCGAUGGAGACUUGCAAGGCUUGAAUCUGGCAGAGGGGGGUAGAAUUCCACGUGUAGCAGUGAAAUGCGUAGAGAUGUGGAGGAACACCGAUGGCGAAGGGCAGCCCCCCUGGGUCAAGAUUUGACGCUCAUGUACGAAAACGUGGGGGAGCAAACAGG